GUAAACUCUGAAUUUUGUGAGCUAUAGGAAAUCUGUUUUUGAUUUCAUGGCUCAGUCUCAGCACUAACCCUGUUAGUGGUGCAAUAGCUUGCAGUUCAGCUGCAUGUAAUCUAUUUACAAACAGCAGCUUUGUGGUCCUUUAUUUGUGUGUCCUUUUAAUUUCUCCCUCCAUGCAGCAUCUCCUGCUGAUGCACCACACCAUGAGGAUUAAUAACCUCCAACAGUUUAUUAGCCUGGGAUUCGCAGCCAUGGCGGCACGAGGAGCUGGUGUGGUGUAACUGUAUAUUGCCUGUCAUGCCAAACUGGGCUUGAGGCCCAGAAUGCGUGUCUCUGUCCUCUGAGUUCAAAGCUCUUACUCAUCACAGGAGUUAGUGAUUUGCUUAAAUCCUAAUGACAAGGUUUAAAUGAUCAGUAAUGGCAACUCCAGACUCUGGUAAUCAUCACAUAGGUAAAGUGAUGGCAGAUGGGUUGGAGAGGCUGCCUGGGCACAGAAGAACUGUCUCCUCCUCUAUACCUUAGGCAAAGCACUGCUGGGCUUGCACUAAGGCAGAUUUUUCCCCUCAGCCUCUGGAAAGGACAGCAAAACAUCCUGAGGUUCACAGUCAUCCUUCUUCCUGCCCCAGGUGGAGGGAGAGCUGGGCCUGGGUUCCUCAGAGAGUUCCGGAAGGUUCCGGAACCUUUCCUGGAACCUUCACCUCAGGGUGCCCCCCCUCCCCUCAGGGGGCAGCUGCCAGAGGAGCCCCCAGGCAGCGUGCAGCCUGUGUGGGUCACCACAUGCACCCCCUGACACAUGAACCCAGCAUGCGUGGGUGAAGCUGCUCCAGGCACAGGACUGUCCCAGUGCAGGGCUUGGUGUAGCCCUUCUCUGGGAAGACUCCAGCCAGAGGUGGAAGACAGGAAGGCCACCAUAAACAUUGGGCCCAUACACUCAGAAGAAGAAAUCAGUUCAUGACAUUUAAAAAAAAAAAAAAAAAAAAAAGGAUUUGACAGGGUAUGCAUCUGAAAUAUGUGAGUCUGGCAUCCAGGACACUGAAAACAGAGGGAUCUGAAGAAUGCAGGAAAAACUCAGAUUUUGGUUUAAAUUAAGGACAUACAAAAACAAAGUGUAGAAAGUCAAGUGAAUAGGAGGAAUUUUUUAGAGAUUUAUAAGCUCACUUUAUAGCACCUAAUGUAAUACACCUUUACAUUCACUCUCUUUUUAGCUCUUGUGCACAGCAGUAAGUUGCAUAGCAGUUGCAUGUCAAAACAGUUCUUAUUAUGACUUGGGAUCUCUGAAUGGUCUUUAUUGAAUGAAAGACUGAAAAGCCUAAGGAAUGGAGAAUUAAAUUCAAGGCAUGGAUGAACUUAAUCGUGAUGUAUUUCAUAAACUAUCCUGGAGAUUUGAAAUUACAUAGGCCACACUGUGUCCUUGUGUGAAUGAAUUAGAACUGAUCCUUUUCUGAAAUUCGGUGAAAGGAAUUCUUGGACCAGCGAUUGAAAAGCUAUAUAUUCUUAGGAUACACAAACUUGGGGGGAAAUAUUUUUCUUUAAUUGAUUAACUUCACUUUCCUUCUCUUUUUCAA